rnacentral:rRNA from 1 species
CGAAAGCCUGACGGAGCAAUACCGCGUGAGGGAGGAAGGUUCUUGGAUUGUAAACCUCUUUUCUUAGGGAAGAAGUACUGACGGUACCUAAGGAAUAAGCAUCGGCUAACUCCGUGCCAGCAGCCGCGGUAAUACGGAGGAUGCAAGCGUUAUCCGGAAUUAUUGGGCGUAAAGAGUCCGUAGGUGGCAAUUCAAGUCUGUGGUCAAAGACUAGAGCUUAACUCUGGAAAGGCCAUGGAAACUGAAGAGCUAGAGUUCGGGAGGGGUAGAGGGAAUUCCCAGUGUAGCGGUGAAAUGCGUAGAUAUUGGGAAGAACAUCGGUGGCGAAGGCGCGCUACUGGACCGAAACUGACACUCAGGGACGAAAGCUAGGGUAGCG